GGGCAAACUAGAGUUUGGUAGGGGAGACUGGAAUUCCUGGUGUAGCGGUGGAAUGNGCAGAUAUCAGGAGGAACACCAAUGGCGAAGGCAGGUNUCUGGGCCAAUACUGACACUGAGGAGCGAAAGUCUGGGGAGCGAACAGGAUUAGAUACCCUGGUAGUCCAGACCGUAAACGGUGGGCACUAGUUGUGGGAACCUUCCACGGUUUCUGCGACGCAGCUAACGCAUUAAGUGCCCCGCCUGGGGAGUACGAUCGCAAGAUUAAAACUCAAAGGAAUUGACGGGGCCCCGCACAAGCAGCGGAGCAUGCGGCUUAAUUCGACGCAACGCGAAGAACCUUACCAAGGCUUGACAUAUAGGGAAAAGUGGCAGAGAUGUCAUGUCCGCAAGGGCCCUAUACAGGUGGUGCAUGGUUGUCGUCAGCUCGUGUCGUGAGAUGUUGGGUUAAGUCCCGCAACGAGCGCAACCCUCGUUCUGUGUUGCCAGCAUUUAGUUGGGGACUCACAGGAGACUGCCGGGGUUAACUCGGAGGAAGGUGGGGAUGACGUCAAAUCAUCAUGCCCCUUAUGUCUUGGGCUGCACGCAUGCUGCAAUGGCCGGUACAGAGGGCUGCAAUACCGUAAGGUGGAGCGAAUCCCAAAAAGCCGGUCUCAGUUCGGAUUGAGGUCUGCAACUCGACCUCAUGAAGUUGGAGUUGCUAGUAAUCGUAGAUCAGCAACGCUACGGUGAAUACGUUCCCGGGGCUUGUACACACCGCCCGUCACGUCACGAAAGUCGGUAACACCCAAAGUCAGUGGCCCAACCGCAAGGGGGGAGCUGCCUAAGGUGGGAUCGGUGAUUGGGACGAAGUCGUAACAAGGUAGCCGUA
rnacentral:rRNA from 1 species